CACGUAGGGGGCAAGCGUUGUCCGGAUUUAUUGGGCGUAAAGAGCUCGUAGGCGGUUCGGUAAGUCGGGUGUGAAACCUCCAGGCUCAACCUGGAGACGCCACCCGAUACUGCUGUGACUAGAGUCCGGUAGGGGAGCGUGGAAUUCCUGGGUGUAGCGGUGAAAAUGCGCAGAUAUCAGGAGGAACACCAGCGGCGAAGGCGGCGCUCUGGGCCGGAACUGACGCUCAUGCACGAAAGCGUGGGGAGCAAACAGG
rnacentral:rRNA from 1 species